rnacentral:rRNA from 1 species
GAUGAACGCUGGCGGCGUGUCUAAUACAUGCAAGUCGAGCGAACGGACGAGAAGCUUGCUUCUCUGAUGUUAGCGGCGGACGGGUGAGUAACACGUGGAUAACCUACCUAUAAGACUGGGAUAACUUCGGGAAACCGUAGCUAAUACCGGAUAAUAUUUUGAACCGCAUGGUUCAAAAGUGAAAGACGGUCUUGCUGUCACUUAUAGAUGGAUCCGCGCUGCAUUAGCUAGUUGGUAAGGUAACGGCUUACCAAGGCAACGAUGCAUAGCCGACCUGAGAGGGUGAUCGGCCACACUGGAACUGAGACACGGUCCAGACUCCUACGGGAGGCAGCAGUAGGGAAUCUUCCGCAAUGGGCGAAAGCCUGACGGAGCAACGCCGCGUGAGUGAUGAAGGUCUUCGGAUCGUAAAACUCUGUUAUUAGGGAAGAACAUAUGUGUAAGUAACUGUGCACAUCUGGACGGUACCUAAUCAGAAAGCCACGGCUAACUACGU